GUAAUAAUGGCGCGAAAUUUGAAUAGUUGUUAAUAAAUACAGUAAGGAAAGUGUUUUUAUAUUGAGAUCCUUCUGAAGUAACCAUGUCUACCUCUCCCAGCAUCCUAUUUACAACGGAACAUACAUUUAAAAGUACGGUUUUCUGCAUUUGAAUUUCACCAUUAAUUUUUUCAGCAUACUUUUUUUGUUGUAUCAUAAAGGGACCUCUACACUAUAAACACUUGUCGCAAAUGACCUGCAUGGAAUGCAUCCUCUUUGACACCCAUGGGAUAUUUCUUGGAUAUUUUGAUUUAUAUCUCCAUAUAUUUAAUAAAUAUCAUUAUUUAAUAUAAAAAACUUAUAUUUUUUUAGUUGAGCAGUAAUCAUAAAUGUAGC